rnacentral:lncRNA from 1 species
UUAUACACUGUCCUUCAGAUAGUGUAGAAUUUUCACAUUCUCUAACUUUGAAUUUUUUCUCUUUCAGGUAUUACCUUCUGAACCAAGUACUUCUAUUUAUGUUAUGCACAAGGGCAAAGACAGCUUUGAUGUGUGCGUCCUAAGCCUUCUUGUCUGAAGAUAGUCUGCUAGCAAUGCUUAAGGAUGACGGUGUUCCAUUACAUAUUCUUUGAAGCACGAGAGCAUAUUUUAGGAAUAGAUUUCAGGGUUGGUGAUUUCUGCAAUGCUCUGAGGCUUUACAAACAAAACUGUUUCUAUUAACUGGGAAAUCAGAGUUUGUUUACAUCCUGAUGACAUCUAUCCCUUCAACUGUCCUUUGAAUUAACAUCUUCCUGGUGUUACCAUGUGAGUAUUUCCACACAGUAUCUUGCUAAGAAUUUACAGAUGCGGAUAAUGUAAUUUUAAUUUUGUUUUUAUUUUGAAUAUUUUAUGUGUGGAGCUGAAAUCUGAUUUCCAGGGGAGUCUCAUAGUUAAAUCUUCUUAGUAAAUCUACUUUGAACUGGAAUAGCUAGUUCUUAGCCAGGAGAUAUAAGCUGAGACUUGGUAGAAACAGAUGUAACGAGGCAAUGAAGGUGAUCAUUAAUGAUAUUUGCUGGUGCAAAAAUGAAAAUUUCGAUUUCCACACCAUUAGGAGCCUGAAGAAGUAUAAAAAUGCAUUUUGCCAUCUUCACUCAGAUAAAUGAUCGCUGCUCUCAAACCCUUGAAUAGUUUUAACAAAUGGUUACUGGACAGACUCCAAUGUUGGACUGUAGCUUCCGGAAAACAGUGAUAUUUAAAUACAUAAGCACAGAUUGUUGUUGAAACCAUUCUGUAAAUUCCUUCCACAAUUCCUGGUGGAAAAUAGGUUGUUGAAAAUGACCAGAAAGAGGAAAAUGGAACUGAUAGCAAGAUUCCCUAAUCCCCCAGUUCUGUUGAAUUUAUAGUUGUGUGUAAGUUGGUUUAUUAUUUAAAUCUUAUUUUCCUAAAAGCAAUUGUAUCAUGGAGCUAGAAUGGCACAUUAAAUGAAGUCCAAUGUAAAUUAAAAGUACUUAAACUCAGUCGUUAUCAUCUGAUUAUAACUAAGUGCAUCAGACAGCUCAGUAUCCUUGCAAACAAUAUAUUAAUGCAAUCAGUCUUCAGCACAGUUGACUUCAUUUUGCUGCUAUUAUGAAUCACUUUUAUAAGAAAAUGAGCUCUUGAUUUCUAGGUACAGAGAGAGGAAAAAAAAGGGGGGGGUGGGAGGAGGGACUGUCAGUGCCAUUAUAGCACGGCACCUCUUGUU